rnacentral:rRNA from 1 species
CCUACGGGUGGCAGCAGUGGGGAAUAUUGCGCAAUGGGCGAAAGCCUGACGCAGCGACGCCGCGUGAGGGAUGAAGGUCUUCGGAUCGUAAACCUCUGUCAGCAGGGAAGAACGGUCACUGUGCUAAUCAGCAGUGAAUUGACGGUACCUGCAAAGGAAGCACCGGCUAACUCCGUGCCAGCAGCCGCGGUAAUACGGAGGGUGCGAGCGUUAAUCGGAAUUACUGGGCGUAAAGCGCUCGUAGGCGGUAUGUCAAGUCAAGGGUGAAAUCCCCGCGCUCAACGUGGGAACUGCCUUUGAAACUGGUAAACUGGAGUGUGUGAGAGGAUAGUGGAAGUCCAGGGGUAGGAGUGAAAGCCGGAGAGAUCUGGAGGAACAUCAGUGGCGAGGGCGACUAUCGGGCACAUAACGGACGCUGAGGAGCGAAAGCGUGGGUAGCAAACAGGAUUAGAUACCCGAGUAGUC